AUACCGUGAAUCAUAUUGCAAUAUCAGUCAAAAUAAUCGCAAUUAGAUAUUUUCCUAAUAUCGUGCAGCCCUAGAUGAUACACCGUUUUAUCGCAUCGGUGUAAACUGGCAAGUUUCAGAACGCUGCAGACCGCCGCGUUGCACGUAGCUGCGGACCAACUCGUCUAGUCGCCAAUCUUUGGUCUAAACUGGAAGUUUACAGGAAGACAUCCAUCAACCACCCAAAUCUCUACACAACAGAAAGUAAAUAAACUCUCAAACUUUAGUUUCUGAUGAAACGUUGCCUUAAAUAUUUACUACAACCAACGAACAAGGUGACAUCGUCGACGUAUAGUGAAAUAUUUAUACUUGUUAGCAAGUUCUUAAUACGUUGUUGAGCCUGACUGAAGUACAAUGAGAAGUUUUAAUCCCUGCGGGUUGUGGACGGCUGCUAUUUUAGUUGAAGUGAAUGAAAAAUGUUCAGGAAGUCGUGGUUGUCGUUUAAACCUGAACAAGAUUCUUAAAAACUAAUGAUAUCACAUUGUUAGAUCGGACCGACAAGAAAUAAACUCUAAAACGUUGGCUACUGAUGAAACGUUGCCUGAUAGAUUGACAACAACCAGCCAUUCUUUAACAACAAAGUGAGGCUUCUUCUUCCUCGACGUAUGGCAACAUGUUUUAGUUCCUUAUUGGUCUGUUCAGGAUGUUGAAACCAAAUCUGUAGCUGGUAAGUUACGUUGAUACGUUGCCAUCAAUCAACCGUCCAAAUCU